rnacentral:lncRNA from 1 species
UUUACUAUCCAUGCUGUCUAACUAGGUUAAAGAGCAAAAAAGCUAGAAAGAAAAGUAGUGGCAGACAUCAGCAUUAACACAUACUAAGAGAGGCAAGGUAAGUCGCUCUAUAGGUUGUCAAUACUUCCGUAUUCUGCUCAAAUUCCUCUUGGACAUUUUUCCAAGCAUCUUGCUGAUAGAGACUCAAUACUAUUUUCAAUAGGUUUCCUCAUCAAAGUUGGACCCAUACGCUGAUCAGACCCAUUUCACUGAUAACAUCUACUGCGAUUUCGUGCCAGAAGUCCAGAACUAGAAUCGUACUCACACCACCAACAGCUAUGCCAGAAGUCCAGAACCAGAAACGUACUCACACCACCAACAGCUACUGAGUACAUCCCAGUCAAUACUUCAAACCCUCAUUAGCUCCGCCAACAUGUAGAGAGAAUAAGAGAGAUCCUACCUUGAUUGAGCCUCGAAAGCAAGAGCUCCAGCCAACCGACCGAAACUAUUGUUCUAUUGAAUGAAGAGAAAGCCACCACACUCAGCAUAAGCUAGAUCGGACGAAGCAAUUUUUUAAGGGGUUUUUGUGUUUUGUGAAUCAUUGUGUAAAAGAGACGAAAAACGGGAAAGAGUAUCGAGAUUUAGACGAGAUCUAGGGUUUGUGGAGAAGACAGUGCUACCAGAGGGUAGAGAGAGACUCGCAUAAACGAGAGAAAGCAUGCUCUUUUUUAUAAAUG